rnacentral:rRNA from 1 species
GACAGAGGUGCCGAGCGUUAGGCGGAAUCACUGGGCUUAAAGCGUGUGUAGGCGGACCGUUAAGUACCUUGUGAAAUCCCAACGGCUCACCCGUCGGAACGGCUGGGUAGACUGGCGGUCUUGGGCCACCUAGGGGCAGAUGGAACAGACGGUGGAGCGGUGAAAUGCGUAGAUAUCGGAAGGAACGCCGGUGGCGAAAGCGAGCUGCUGGAUCCCUCCUGACGCUGAGGCGCGAAAGCCAGGGGAGCGAACGGGG